UUCCUGGUGGUCCAGUGGUUAAGACUUCACACUCCCAAUGCAGGGGGCCCGGGUUCAAGCCCUGAUCAGGAAA
rnacentral:tRNA from 1 species